CCGGCCCACUGCAGAUCAAAUUGGGCUGAAUGUGGCCCUGGCUUAGACAAACAACAUUUUUACACAUAAUGGUUUACAAAUUUGUCUCACAGGUUAUGUAAAUGUGCCAUUUUUCCCAAACUUUUUCACCCAGUUCUUUCUGAAGUCGUAUUAUAUAAAUGUGAUGAGAUAUUUGGACUAGAAAUGAGAAAAAU